AUUCAAAGCGAAGGGAGCCACACGUGUACGUAGAUAAUGAUCUAGCUAUGGUGAGAAAUUUCGACACUCAUAUAGGGGUGUCUAAAAAGCUUAUCCCGAAGUUCAAAGGACCUUAUAAGAUAUCAAAGGUGCUAAAAAAUGAUAGGUAUUUGCUAGAAGAUGUAGAGGGGUUUCAACAAUCAAGGAUCGCGUAUAAAGGAGUUUGGGCGGUGGCGAAUAUGAAGCCAUGGAUAGAAAAUGGUAAUAAUGCAAAUGUCACAGGGAAUCAAAAUGAAGAAAAUGAUUGAAAUACGUAAACUUAAAAUGUUAAGAGUAAACCACACCCAACUGUAAUAAAUCAAUCUAUCUAGAAACUAACUUAAAUGUAAGGAGUUCGGGAGCACUCCGGUCAGGAUGGCCAAAUUGUAGCAAGGUAAUAAUUAGUAAGGCAUUCAAUUAGUAUUUAAAAUAGCAUACAGCGCGCAUUGGUAUUUACCGCACCAUCGAUACACUCGGCGGGAAAUACCAAUAGUGAGAUAUCGGAUAAGAAACAUCGAUAAUAAAGUAACUUCACUUUGUAAAUGGCGAUCGUGAGAGACAGACGCGCAGCUAAUAAAAAGAGUUAUAUCAAAUCGCCGGGCUUGUGUUUUUGUACAUAGGCAGUUCACCCACACACCGAUAUUGGUCACUACAAUUCUCAGGUUAGACGGCCUACAAUUUCAGAAGUGGGAUAGGAUCAACCGCCGCCAGUGAAAAAUAGCGAAAAUUUUUAUUUUCUCGUCCGUCGAAGACGCCAUCGCUGAAAAAAACAUGUCGGGCUUGGUCGGCACGGAGGAGUUCUCGGCCGCCCAGCUGCGCGGAUGGCUGGAGUCCCCCAAUCUACCAAAAGGUGGAAGCAAAGCCGCCAUGGCAGCGAGACUUAACGAAAUACCAGUAGAGCUUCGGGGACAGGGACCACCGGCAGCCGAAACAAGCGAGAGCGAGAGGGAAGAUGAGGCAGCCGCAGAUCAAGACUCGACGAAGAGCGAACGCAAAGAGGCACAACAACAACCACGGCGAAUAUCGAGCAGACGUUGAAAUAUUAAAAUUGCAAAUCGAGCUGCUGAAGCUGCAGAGCGAGAGAGAGAAGGAAGGGAGAGUAGAGAACACAACACCAGCCGCCAACAAUGACGCUGGCGUCAUGCUGCUAAAUGCCGCCAAAGACAUGUUGCCAACAUAUCAUGGCAACAUUUCUGGAAACAACGAUGACGUCACAACUUGGAUCGCGCAGUUUAAGGCCAUCGCAAAAGUGAACAAAUUGAAGGAGGAGAAGCUACUAAUGCUGCUAAUGUCGAAGCUUAAGGACAAAGCAUUGGUGUGGCUGCAUUCGAGUCCGGAGCACAUGUCGUUGCCAAUCGAUCAGUUGUUGAACGUCAUGGAAGACAUCGCAAGGAAAGCAAACUGUUGCUCCGCCGCAAGUUCGAGUCCCGUUCAUGAGGACGUGACGAGGAGUUCUCAAUGUACUUCAACGCCAAAGUGGCGCUGGCAUCCCGCAUAGUCAUUGACGACGAGGAGUUUAUCGACGGAGUCAUUGAAGGUAUCCCAGAUGUAGGCCUGCGUAGGCAAGCCCACAUGCAGUGAUUUGGUGGUCCAUAUCAACUACUCAAGGCGUUCGAGAAGAUCAUGCUGCCAAAGAAGUACGGUUCAACUGAGGGGGCAAACACUGGAGCCUCGCCAACACCCACUCGCUGCUACAACUGCAACUCUUUGGGCCACGUGGCAGGGGAGUGCCGCAAGCCCAAGCGCGAAAGAGGAGCUUGAUACGGAUGCGGCAGCAUGAGUCACCACUGUGACGAAAAGAAGAACAAGAUUGCCUCAUCGACUCAGGGAGCCCAAUAAGUUUUAUAAAGUUAUCAUGUCUAGAGCACCAGUCGGAAAAUAAACUAAAUAAAGCGGAAGAGCGCUCACGAUUAAGUUCAAAUGAAAUCAAAGAAGAUGAUUUAAGUUUAUAUAAGUUUAACAAAGACAAGAAAAACAGAGAAAUUGAAUUUAUUUUGAAUAAAAAUUCGGAUUACGCUUAUGUUGGACUAAACAAUAGCAAACUUAACAUCUUUGGUAAAAUACCCAGUUUUGUAAUUAUUAACAAAAAUCGAAUCAACUUUGAAUUACUAGUAGUGGCAGACGAGUCGAUGGGCUAUGAGGCUGUGUUAGGUAGGGAUUUUAUGAAUUUAUGCAAAUUUAAAAUUGUAAGUGAAAUUUGCAAGGAGAAGGAGAGUGGGACAAAAAACAAGUGCGAAAUAGAAAAUAAUUGUACAGAAAGGAGCAAGCGUGAAACAGAUAACGAAAAAGGAAUAAAAAAUGAGUGUUUAGGAGAAGAUGAGUGGUUAGAAGAAAGUGAGUGUGACAUAAAAAAUUAGUGUUUAGAAGAAAAUGAGUGUGGAAUAGAGAAUGAGUGUUUAGGAAAAAAUGUGUGUUUAGAAGAAAAUGAGUGUGGAAUAGAGAAUGAUUGUUUAGGAGAAUAUGAGUGUGAAGUAAAAGAUGAGGGUGGUAAAGAGAACGAGCAUGAAGUAGAAAGUGAAGGCAAGGUAGAAAAUGAGUGUUCUGCAAUGGUUGAAUGUCUGCAAGACAGCGAUACCUGCGAGAGCGUAAAAGCCAAUUUCAACGAACUACCAAGCCAGUAUCCAGACAAAGAAAACGAUUGGGAGUUGAAAGUAGGGACAGAUUGUAGCCAAAAACUCGCAGGACGACUUAAAUACAUGUUUAGGACAGCGUAUGUAAACGCAGAAAGACCAAACUUACCACAAACCAAGUGGGAAAUGAAGUUGAAUUUCGAACACGAAAAACCGUUUCAUUGCCCACUUAGAAGACUGUCGUAUAGCGAGAAAGCCCAAGUACAGAAAAUGAUAGACGAUUACACAGAAAAAGGUUACAUCAGAACCAGUGAGUCAGUAUACGUUUCGCCUAUAGUACUGGUAAAAAAGAAUUCAGGAGAGUUGAGACUGUGCGUCGAUUAUCGCACACUUAAUAAAGGAAUGAUAAAGGACAAUUACCCAACGCCUCUUAUAGACGACCUACUAGAUAAACUGUCAGGGAAAAGACUUUUCACCAAGUUAGACCUGAAGACUGGAUACUUCCACGUAUUUAUGCAUAAAGAUUCAGUAAAAUACACGUCGUUCACGACCCCGAUGGGACAAUACGAAUGGCUGAGGAUGCCGUUCGGGUAACGAAAUGCAUCUGCGGUGUUUCAAAGAUUCACAAACAACAUUUUCGCAGACAUGGUAAAGGAAGACAAAGCUAUAAUAUACAUGGACGAUAUUAUGGUAGCAACAAAAGAUAGUGCUAGUCACAUGGAAAUUUUACAAGAAGUGAUGAGACGAUUGGUAGAGAAUAAACUUGAAUUAAGGAUUGAUAAAUGCGAAUUCUUACAGUCAGAAGUUAAGUACCUGGGCUAUUCCAUAUCGGGUAACGGAAUUAAACCAGAUACGAAGGGAUUACAGGCAGUAAAAGGGUUCCUAGUCCCUACGAAAACGAAUGAAGUGCAGAGUUUCUUAGGGUUAUGUUCUUACUUUAGACGGUUCGUAAAAGAUUUUUCUAUGAAAGCUAAGCCCCUUUAUGAUUUGGUCAAAAAAGACAGGAAGUUUGAAUUCGGUAUCGUAGAACUAGAAUGUUUCGAGCAACUCAAAAGUAACUUGUUGGAAGCACCGAUCUUGGAACUUUACAAUCCCAGAGAUACGACAGAAUUACAUUGCGAUGCAAGUUCGUUGGGUUUCGGGUCAAUUCUAAUGCAGAAGAAGGGUGAUGGCAGAAUGCACCCAGUCUUCUAUUUCUCCAAGCGAACAACAAUUACCGAAGCCAAAUACCACAGCUUUGAGCUGGAGACACUAUGCACUACAACGGUUUAGAGUAUACGUGCAAGGCAUAACCUUCAAAAUAGUGACAGACUGCAACGCGCUAACUAUGACUCUAAACAAAAAAGAACUCAAUCCACGCAUUGCCCGCUGGGCGUUAGAGUUACAAAAUUAUGAUUACAAAUUAGAACACAGGUCAGGAAGCAGAAUGCAACACGUAGAUGCGCUAAGCAGAGCCAUUCAGAUACUCACGGUAGACACAAACACAUUUGAAGAAAAUGUAAUUAUAUGCCAAAACAGAGAUUGCAAACUGAUGGAGCUGAGAGAAACGUUACAGAAAUCAGAACACAAACAUUAUGAGAUGAGAAACGGAAUAAUAUACAGGAAAAAAGAUAACAAUACUAUCCUAUUCUGCGUACCCGAGGAAAUGGAAGGCCACGUACUCUAUAAGUACCACGAUGAACUAGGGCACGUCGGGAUAGACAAGAUGACCGACGCUAUAUCGCUAUACCAAAAGGGUCGGGACCAUUCGAGGUAGUACAUAUCGACCAUUUCGGGCCAGUCGACAAAGGCAGGGCCAACAAACAUGUUUUAGUAGUAAUAGACGCGUUCACCAAAUUCGUAAGACUUUAUACGACCAAAACCACUAGCACAAAGGAAGCAGUAAUUGCAAUGAAAGAUUAUUUCCGAGCUUACAGUAGACCCAGAUGCAUUGUGUCAGACAGAGGAAGCUGUUUCACGUCAAAAGAGUUUGAAGAAUUCUUAGAACAGAGCAAUGUUAAACACGUAAAGAUAGCAACAGGGUCGCCACAGGCCAACGGGCAGGUAGAAAGGGUGAACAGAAGUUUGGGACCCAUGAUUGCAAAGCUUGUCGACCCGGAAAAAGGAUUACACUGGGAUAUGGUAGUAGAAACAGUAGAACACGCGAUGAACAACACAAUUCAAAGAACAAUUAAUGAACACCCGAGUAGAAUGUUGUUUGGGGUCGUACAAAAAGGAAAGGUUUCAGAUUUACUAAAAGAUCAUCUAGAAGAACUAACCGAACAACGGGCAACAAGGGAUCUAGAAAAGAUUAUAACAGUAGCAGGCACUCAUCAGGAAAAAAUACAGUCUUAUAACAAACAAGAAGCAGAUUCAAAGCGAAGGGAGCCACACGUGUACGUAGAUAAUGAUCUAGCUAUGGUGAGAAAUUUCGACACUCAUAUAGGGGUGUCUAAAAAGCUUAUCCCGAAGUUCAAAGGACCUUAUAAGAUAUCAAAGGUGCUAAAAAAUGAUAGGUAUUUGCUAGAAGAUGUAGAGGGGUUUCAACAAUCAAGGAUCGCGUAUAAAGGAGUUUGGGCGGUGGCGAAUAUGAAGCCAUGGAUAGAAAAUGGUAAUAAUGCAAAUGUCACAGGGAAUCAAAAUGAAGAAAAUGAUUGAAAUACGUAAACUUAAAAUGUUAAGAGUAAACCACACCCAACUGUAAUAAAUCAAUCUAUCUAGAAACUAACUUAAAUGUAAGGAGUUCGGGAGCACUCCGGUCAGGAUGGCCAAAUUGUAGCAAGGUAAUAAUUAGUAAGGCAUUCAAUUAGUAUUUAAAAUAGCAUACAGCGCGCAUUGGUAUUUACCGCACCAUCGAUACACUCGGCGGGAAAUACCAAUAGUGAGAUAUCGGAUAAGAAACAUCGAUAAUAAAGUAACUUCACUUUGUAAAUGGCGAUCGUGAGAGACAGACGCGCAGCUAAUAAAAAGAGUUAUAUCAAAUCGCCGGGCUUGUGUUUUUGUACAUAGGCAGUUCACCCACACACCGAUAUUGGUCACUACAAUUCUCAGGUUAGACGGCCUACAAUUUCAGAAGUGGGAUAGGAUCAACCGCCGCCAGUGAAAAAUAGCGAAAAUUUUUAUUUUCUCGUCCGUCGAAGACGCCAUCGCUGAAAAAAACAUGUCGGGCUUGGUCGGCACGGAGGAGUUCUCGGCCGCCCAGCUGCGCGGAUGGCUGGAGUCCCCCAAUCUACCAAAAGGUGGAAGCAAAGCCGCCAUGGCAGCGAGACUUAACGAAAUACCAGUAGAGCUUCGGGGACAGGGACCACCGGCAGCCGAAACAAGCGAGAGCGAGAGGGAAGAUGAGGCAGCCGCAGAUCAAGACUCGACGAAGAGCGAACGCAAAGAGGCACAACAACAACCACGGCGAAUAUCGAGCAGACGUUGAAAUAUUAAAAUUGCAAAUCGAGCUGCUGAAGCUGCAGAGCGAGAGAGAGAAGGAAGGGAGAGUAGAGAACACAACACCAGCCGCCAACAAUGACGCUGGCGUCAUGCUGCUAAAUGCCGCCAAAGACAUGUUGCCAACAUAUCAUGGCAACAUUUCUGGAAACAACGAUGACGUCACAACUUGGAUCGCGCAGUUUAAGGCCAUCGCAAAAGUGAACAAAUUGAAGGAGGAGAAGCUACUAAUGCUGCUAAUGUCGAAGCUUAAGGACAAAGCAUUGGUGUGGCUGCAUUCGAGUCCGGAGCACAUGUCGUUGCCAAUCGAUCAGUUGUUGAACGUCAUGGAAGACAUCGCAAGGAAAGCAAACUGUUGCUCCGCCGCAAGUUCGAGUCCCGUUCAUGAGGACGUGACGAGGAGUUCUCAAUGUACUUCAACGCCAAAGUGGCGCUGGCAUCCCGCAUAGUCAUUGACGACGAGGAGUUUAUCGACGGAGUCAUUGAAGGUAUCCCAGAUGUAGGCCUGCGUAGGCAAGCCCACAUGCAGUGAUUUGGUGGUCCAUAUCAACUACUCAAGGCGUUCGAGAAGAUCAUGCUGCCAAAGAAGUACGGUUCAACUGAGGGGGCAAACACUGGAGCCUCGCCAACACCCACUCGCUGCUACAACUGCAACUCUUUGGGCCACGUGGCAGGGGAGUGCCGCAAGCCCAAGCGCGAAAGAGGAGCUUGAUACGGAUGCGGCAGCAUGAGUCACCACUGUGACGAAAAGAAGAACAAGAUUGCCUCAUCGACUCAGGGAGCCCAAUAAGUUUUAUAAAGUUAUCAUGUCUAGAGCACCAGUCGGAAAAUAAACUAAAUAAAGCGGAAGAGCGCUCACGAUUAAGUUCAAAUGAAAUCAAAGAAGAUGAUUUAAGUUUAUAUAAGUUUAACAAAGACAAGAAAAACAGAGAAAUUGAAUUUAUUUUGAAUAAAAAUUCGGAUUACGCUUAUGUUGGACUAAACAAUAGCAAACUUAACAUCUUUGGUAAAAUACCCAGUUUUGUAAUUAUUAACAAAAAUCGAAUCAACUUUGAAUUACUAGUAGUGGCAGACGAGUCGAUGGGCUAUGAGGCUGUGUUAGGUAGGGAUUUUAUGAAUUUAUGCAAAUUUAAAAUUGUAAGUGAAAUUUGCAAGGAGAAGGAGAGUGGGACAAAAAACAAGUGCGAAAUAGAAAAUAAUUGUACAGAAAGGAGCAAGCGUGAAACAGAUAACGAAAAAGGAAUAAAAAAUGAGUGUUUAGGAGAAGAUGAGUGGUUAGAAGAAAGUGAGUGUGACAUAAAAAAUUAGUGUUUAGAAGAAAAUGAGUGUGGAAUAGAGAAUGAGUGUUUAGGAAAAAAUGUGUGUUUAGAAGAAAAUGAGUGUGGAAUAGAGAAUGAUUGUUUAGGAGAAUAUGAGUGUGAAGUAAAAGAUGAGGGUGGUAAAGAGAACGAGCAUGAAGUAGAAAGUGAAGGCAAGGUAGAAAAUGAGUGUUCUGCAAUGGUUGAAUGUCUGCAAGACAGCGAUACCUGCGAGAGCGUAAAAGCCAAUUUCAACGAACUACCAAGCCAGUAUCCAGACAAAGAAAACGAUUGGGAGUUGAAAGUAGGGACAGAUUGUAGCCAAAAACUCGCAGGACGACUUAAAUACAUGUUUAGGACAGCGUAUGUAAACGCAGAAAGACCAAACUUACCACAAACCAAGUGGGAAAUGAAGUUGAAUUUCGAACACGAAAAACCGUUUCAUUGCCCACUUAGAAGACUGUCGUAUAGCGAGAAAGCCCAAGUACAGAAAAUGAUAGACGAUUACACAGAAAAAGGUUACAUCAGAACCAGUGAGUCAGUAUACGUUUCGCCUAUAGUACUGGUAAAAAAGAAUUCAGGAGAGUUGAGACUGUGCGUCGAUUAUCGCACACUUAAUAAAGGAAUGAUAAAGGACAAUUACCCAACGCCUCUUAUAGACGACCUACUAGAUAAACUGUCAGGGAAAAGACUUUUCACCAAGUUAGACCUGAAGACUGGAUACUUCCACGUAUUUAUGCAUAAAGAUUCAGUAAAAUACACGUCGUUCACGACCCCGAUGGGACAAUACGAAUGGCUGAGGAUGCCGUUCGGGUAACGAAAUGCAUCUGCGGUGUUUCAAAGAUUCACAAACAACAUUUUCGCAGACAUGGUAAAGGAAGACAAAGCUAUAAUAUACAUGGACGAUAUUAUGGUAGCAACAAAAGAUAGUGCUAGUCACAUGGAAAUUUUACAAGAAGUGAUGAGACGAUUGGUAGAGAAUAAACUUGAAUUAAGGAUUGAUAAAUGCGAAUUCUUACAGUCAGAAGUUAAGUACCUGGGCUAUUCCAUAUCGGGUAACGGAAUUAAACCAGAUACGAAGGGAUUACAGGCAGUAAAAGGGUUCCUAGUCCCUACGAAAACGAAUGAAGUGCAGAGUUUCUUAGGGUUAUGUUCUUACUUUAGACGGUUCGUAAAAGAUUUUUUUAUGAAAGCUAAGCCCCUUUAUGAUUUGGUCAAAAAAGACAGGAAGUUUGAAUUCGGUAUCGUAGAACUAGAAUGUUUCGAGCAACUCAAAAGUAACUUGUUGGAAGCACCGAUCUUGGAACUUUACAAUCCCAGAGAUACGACAGAAUUACAUUGCGAUGCAAGUUCGUUGGGUUUCGGGUCAAUUCUAAUGCAGAAGAAGGGUGAUGGCAGAAUGCACCCAGUCUUCUAUUUCUCCAAGCGAACAACAAUUACCGAAGCCAAAUACCACAGCUUUGAGCUGGAGACACUAUGCACUACAACGGUUUAGAGUAUACGUGCAAGGCAUAACCUUCAAAAUAGUGACAGACUGCAACGCGCUAACUAUGACUCUAAACAAAAAAGAACUCAAUCCACGCAUUGCCCGCUGGGCGUUAGAGUUACAAAAUUAUGACUACAAAUUAGAACACAGGUCAGGAAGCAGAAUGCAACACGUAGAUGCGCUAAGCAGAGCCAUUCAGAUACUCACGGUAGACACAAACACAUUUGAAGAAAAUGUAAUUAUAUGCCAAAACAGAGAUUGCAAACUGAUGGAGCUGAGAGAAACGUUACAGAAAUCAGAACACAAACAUUAUGAGAUGAGAAACGGAAUAAUAUACAGGAAAAAAGAUAACAAUACUAUCCUAUUCUGCGUACCCGAGGAAAUGGAAGGCCACGUACUCUAUAAGUACCACGAUGAACUAGGGCACGUCGGGAUAGACAAGAUGACCGACGCUAUAUCGCUAUACCAAAAGGGUCGGGACCAUUCGAGGUAGUACAUAUCGACCAUUUCGGGCCAGUCGACAAAGGCAGGGCCAACAAACAUGUUUUAGUAGUAAUAGACGCGUUCACCAAAUUCGUAAGACUUUAUACGACCAAAACCACUAGCACAAAGGAAGCAGUAAUUGCAAUGAAAGAUUAUUUCCGAGCUUACAGUAGACCCAGAUGCAUUGUGUCAGACAGAGGAAGCUGUUUCACGUCAAAAGAGUUUGAAGAAUUCUUAGAACAGAGCAAUGUUAAACACGUAAAGAUAGCAACAGGGUCGCCACAGGCCAACGGGCAGGUAGAAAGGGUGAACAGAAGUUUGGGACCCAUGAUUGCAAAGCUUGUUGACCCGGAAAAAGGAUUACACUGGGAUAUGGUAGUAGAAACAGUAGAACACGCGAUGAACAACACAAUUCAAAGAACAAUUAAUGAACACCCGAGUAGAAUGUUGUUUGGGGUCGUACAAAAAGGAAAGGUUUCAGAUUUACUAAAAGAUCAUCUAGAAGAACUAACCGAACAACGGGCAACAAGGGAUCUAGAAAAGAUUAUAACAGUAGCAGGCACUCAUCAGGAAAAAAUACAGUCUUAUAACAAACAAGAAGCAGAUUCAAAGCGAAGGGAGCCACACGUGUACGUAGAUUAUGAUCUAGCUAUGGUGAGAAAUUUCGACACUCAUAUAGGGGUGUCUAAAAAGCUUAUCCCGAAGUUCAAAGGACCUUAUAAGAUAUCAAAGGUGCUAAAAAAUGAUAGGUAUUUGCUAGAAGAUGUAGAGGGGUUUCAACAAUCAAGGAUCGCGUAUAAAGGAGUUUGGGCGGUGGCGAAUAUGAAGCCAUGGAUAGAAAAUGGUAAUAAUGCAAAUGUCACAGGGAAUCAAAAUGAAGAAAAUGAUUGAAAUACGUAAACUUAAAAUGUUAAGAGUAAACCACACCCAACUGUAAUAAAUCAAUCUAUCUAGAAACUAACUUAAAUGUAAGGAGUUCGGGAGCACUCCGGUCAGGAUGGCCAAAUUGUAGCAAGGUAAUAAUUAGUAAGGCAUUCAAUUAGUAUUUAAAAUAGCAUACAGCGCGCAUUGGUAUUUACCGCACCAUCGAUACACUCGGCGGGAAAUACCAAUAGUGAGAUAUCGGAUAAGAAACAUCGAUAAUAAAGUAACUUCACUUUGUAAAUGGCGAUCGUGAGAGACAGACGCGCAGCUAAUAAAAAGAGUUAUAUCAAAUCGCCGGGCUUGUGUUUUUGUACAUAGGCAGUUCACCCACACACCGAUAUUGGUCACUACAAUUCUCAGGUUAGACGGCCUACAAUUUCAGAAGUGGGAUAGGAUCAACCGCCGCCAGUGAAAAAUAGCGAAAAUUUUUAUUUUCUCGUCCGUCGAAGACGCCAUCGCUGAAAAAAACAUGUCGGGCUUGGUCGGCACGGAGGAGUUCUCGGCCGCCCAGCUGCGCGGAUGGCUGGAGUCCCCCAAUCUACCAAAAGGUGGAAGCAAAGCCGCCAUGGCAGCGAGACUUAACGAAAUGCCAGUAGAGCUUCGGGGACAGGGACCACCGGCAGCCGAAACAAGCGAGAGCGAGAGGGAAGAUGAGGCAGCCGCAGAUCAAGACUCGACGAAGAGCGAACGCAAAGAGGCACAACAACAACCACGGCGAAUAUCGAGCAGACGUUGAAAUAUUAAAAUUGCAAAUCGAGCUGCUGAAGCUGCAGAGCGAGAGAGAGAAGGAAGGGAGAGUAGAGAACACAACACCAGCCGCCAACAAUGACGCUGGCGUCAUGCUGCUAAUUGCCGCCAAAGACAUGUUGCUAACAUAUCAUGGCAACAUUUCUGCAAACAACGAUGACGUCACAACUUGGAUCGCGCAGUUUAAGGCCAUCACAAAAGUGAACAAACUCCAAAGUGGCGCUGGCAUCCCGCAUAGUCAUUGACGACGAGGAGUUUAUCGACGGAGUCAUUGAAGGUAUCCCAGAUGUAGGCCUGCGUAGGCAAGCCCACAUGCAGUGAUUUGGUGCUCCAUAUCAACUACUCAAGGCAGUUCAACUGAAGGGGCAAACACUGGAGCCUCGCCAACACCCACUCGCUGCUACAACUGCAACUCUUUGGGCCACGUGGCAGGGGAGUGCCGCAAGCCCAAGCGCGAAAGAGGAGCGUGAUACGGAUGCGGCAGCAUGAGUCACCAGGUGUCACACUGUGACGAAAAGAAGAACAAGAUUGCCUCAUCGACUCAGGGAGCCCAAUAAGUUUUAUAAAGUUAUCAUGUCUAGAGCACCAGUCGGAAAAUAAACUAAAUAAAGCGGAAGAGCGCUCACGAUUAAGUUCAAAUGAAAUCAAAGAAGAUGAUUUAAGUUUAUAUAAGUUUAACAAAGACAAGAAAAACAGAGAAAUUGAAUUUAUUUUGAAUAAAAAUUCGGAUUACGCUUAUGUUGGACUAAACAAUAGCAAACUUAACAUAUUUGGUAAAAUACCCAGUUUUGUAAUUAUUAACAAAAAUCGAAUCAACUUUGAAUUACUAGUAGUGGCAGACGAGUCGAUGGGCUAUGAGGCUGUGUUAGGUAGGGAUUUUAUGAAUUUAUGCAAAUUUAAAAUUGUAAGUGAAAUUUGCAAGGAGAAGGAGAGUGGGACAAAAAACAAGUGCGAAAUAGAAAAUAAUUGUAUAGAAAGGAGCAAGCGUGAAACAGAUAACGAAAAAGGAAUAAAAAAUGAGUGUUUAGGAGAAGAUGAGUGGUUAGAAGAAAGUGAGUGUGACAUAAAAAAUGAGUGUUUAGAAGAAAAUGAGUGUGGAAUAGAGAAUGAGUGUUUAGGAAAAAAUGAGUGUUUAGAAGAAAAUGAGUGUGGAAUAGAGAAUGAUUGUUUAGGAGAAUAUGAGAGUGAAGUAAAAGAUGAGGGUGGUAAAGAGAACGAGCAUGAAGUAGAAAGUGAAGGCAAGGUAGAAAAUGAGUGUUCUGCAGUGGUUGAAUGUCUGCAAGACAGCGAUACCUGCGAGAGCGUAAAAGCCAAUUUCAACGAACUACCAAGCCAGUAUCCAGACAAAGAAAACGAUUGGGAGUUGAAAGUAGGGACAGAUUGUAGCCAAGAACUCGCAGGACGACUAAAAUACAUGUUUAGGACAGCGUAUGUAAACGCAGAAAGACCAAACUUACCACAAACCAAGUGGGAAAUGAAGUUGAAUUUCGAACACGAAAAACCGUUUCAUUGCCCACUUAGAAGACUGUCGUAUAGCGAGAAAGCCCAAGUACAGAAAAUGAUAGACGAUUACACAGAAAAAGGUUACAUCAGAACCAGUGAGUCAGUAUACGUUUCGCCUAUAGUACUGGUAAAAAAGAAUUCGGGAGAGUUGAGACUGUGCGUCGAUUAUCGCACACUUAAUAAAGGAAUGAUAAAGGACAAUUACCCAACGCCUCUUAUAGACGACCUACUAGAUAAACUGUCAGGGAAAAGACUUUUCACCAAGUUAGACCUGAAGACUGGAUACUUCCACGUAUUUAUGCAUAAAGAUUCAGUAAAAUACACGUCGUUCACGACCCCGAUGGGACAAUACGAAUGGCUGAGGAUGCCGUUCGGGUAACGAAAUGCAUCUGCGGUGUUUCAAAGAUUCACAAACAACAUUUUCGCAGACAUGGUAAAGGAAGACAAAGUUAUAAUAUACAUGGACGAUAUUAUGGUAGCAGCAAAAGAUAGUGCUAGUCACAUGGAAAUUUUACAAGAAGUGAUGAGACGAUUGGUAGAGAAUAAACUUGAAUUAAGGAUUGAUAAAUGCGAAUUCUUACAGUCAGAAGUUAAGUACCUGGGCUAUUCCAUAUCGGGUAACGGAAUUAAACCAGAUACGAAGGGAUUACAGGCAGUAAAAGGGUUCCUAGUCCCUACGAAAACGAAUGAAGUGCAGAGUUUCUUAGGGUUAUGUUCUUACUUUAGACGGUUCGUAAAAGAUUUUUCUAUGAAAGCUAAGCCCCUUUAUGAUUUGGUCAAAAAAGACAGGAAGUUUGAAUUCGGUAUCGUAGAACUAGAAUGUUUCGAGCAACUCAAAAGUAACUUGUUGGAAGCACCGAUCUUGGAACUUUACAAUCCCAGAGAUACGACAGAAUUACAUUGCGAUGCAAGUUCGUUGGGUUUCGGGUCAAUUCUAAUGCAGAAGAAGGGUGAUGGCAGAAUGCACCCAGUCUUCUAAUUCUCCAAGCGAACAACAAUUACCGAAGCCAAAUACCACAGCUUUGAGCUGGAGACACUAUGCACUACAACGGUUUAGAGUAUACGUGCAAGGCAUAACCUUCAAAAUAGUGACAGACUGCAACGCGCUAACUAUGACUCUAAACAAAAAAGAACUCAAUCCACGCAUUGCCCGCUGGGCGAUAGAGUUACAAAAUUAUGACUACAAAUUAGAACACAGGUCAGGAAGCAGAAUGCAACACGUAGAUGCGCUAAGCAGAGCCAUUCAGAUACUCACGGUAGACACAAACACAUUUGAAGAAAAUGUAAUUAUAUGCCAAAACAGAGAUUGCAAACUGAUGGAGCUGAGAGAAACGUUACAGAAAUCAGAACACAAACAUUAUGAGAUGAGAAACGGAAUAAUAUACAGGAAAAAAGAUAACAAUACUAUCCUAUUCUGCGUAACCGAGGAAAUGGAAGGCCACGUACUCUAUAAGUACCACGAUGAACUAGGGCACGUCGGGAUAGACAAGAUGACCGACGCUAUAUCGCUAUACCAAAAGGGUCGGGACCAUUCGAGGUAGUACAUAUCGACCAUUUCGGGCCAGUCGACAAAGGCAGGGCCAACAAACAUGUUUUAGUAGUAAUAGACGCGUUCACCAAAUUCGUAAGACUUUAUACGACCAAAACCACUAGCACAAAGGAAGCAGUAAUUGCAAUGAAAGAUUAUUUCCGAGCUUACAGUAGACCCAGAUGCAUUGUGUCAGACAGAGGAAGCUGUUUCACGUCAAAAGAGUUUGAAGAAUUCUUAGAACAGAGCAAUGUUAAACACGUAAAGAUAGCAACAGGGUCGCCACAGGCCAACGGGCAGGUAGAAAGGGUGAACAGAAGUUUGGGACCCAUGAUUGCAAAGCUUGUUGACCCGGAAAAAGGAUUACACUGGGAUAUGGUAGUAGAAACAGUAGAACACGCGAUGAACAACACAAUUCAAAGAACAAUUAAUGAACACCCGAGUAGAAUGUUGUUUGGGGUCGUACAAAAAGGAAAGGUUUCAGAUUUACUAAAAGAUCAUCUAGAAGAACUAACCGAACAACGGGCAACAAGGGAUCUAGAAAAGAUUAUAACAGUAGCAGGCACUCAUCAGGAAAAAAUACAGUCUUAUAACAAACAAGAAGCAGAUUCAAAGCGAAGGGAGCCACACGUGUACGUAGAUAAUGAUCUAGCUAUGGUGAGAAAUUUCGACACUCAUAUAGGGGUGUCUAAAAAGCUUAUCCCGAAGUUCAAAGGACCUUAUAAGAUAUCAAAGGUGCUAAAAAAUGAUAGGUAUUUGCUAGAAGAUGUAGAGGGGUUUCAACAAUCAAGGAUCGCGUAUAAAGAAGUUUGGGCGGUGGCGAAUAUGAAGCCAUGGAUAGAAAAUGGUAAUAAUGCAAAUGUCACAGGGAAUCAAAAUGAAGAAAAUGAUUGAAAUACGUAAACUUAAAAUGUUAAGAGUAAACCACACCCAACUGUAAUAAAUCAAUCUAUCUAGAAACUAACUUAAAUGUAAGGAGUUCGGGAGCACUCCGGUCAGGAUGGCCAAAUUGUAGCAAGGUAAUAAUUAGUAAGGCAUUCAAUUAGUAUUUAAAAUAGCAUACAGCGCGCAUUGGUAUUUACCGCACCAUCGAUACACUCGGCGGGAAAUACCAAUAGUGAGAUAUCGGAUAAGAAACAUCGAUAAUAAAGUUACUUCACUUUGUAAAUGGCGAUCGUGAGAGACAGACGCGCAGCUAAUAAAAAGAGUUAUAUCAAAUCGCCGGGCUUGUGUUUUUGUACAUAGGCAGUUCACCCACACACCGAUAUUGGUCACUACAAUUCUCAGGUUAGACGGCCUACAAUUUCAGAAGUGGGAUAGGAUCAACCGCCGCCAGUGAAAAAUAGCGAAAAUUUUUAUUUUCUCGUCCGUCGAAGACGCCAUCGCUGAAAAAAACAUGUCGGGCUUGGUCGGCACGGAGGAGUUCUCGGCCGCCCAGCUGCGCGGAUGGCUGGAGUCCCCCAAUCUACCAAAAGGUGGAAGCAACGCCGCCAUGGCAGCGAGACUUAACGAAAUACCAGUAGAGCUUCGGGGACAGGGACCACCGGCAGCCGAAACAAGCGAGAGAGAGAGGGAAGAUGAGGCAGCCGCAGAUCAAGACUCGACGAAGAGCGAACGCAAAGAGGCACAACACGGCGAAUAUCGAGCAGACGUUGAAAUAUUAAAAUUGCAAAUCGAGCUGCUGAAGCUGCAGAGCGAGAGAGAGAAGGAAGGGAGAGUAGAGAACACAACACCAGCCGCCAACAAUGACGCUGGCGUCAUGCUGCUAAUUGCCGCCAAAGACAUGUUGCUAACAUAUCAUGGCAACAUUUCUGCAAACAACGAUGACGUCACAACUUGGAUCGCGCAGUUUAAGGCCAUCACAAAAGUGAACAAACUCCAAAGUGGCGCUGGCAUCCCGCAUAGUCAUUGACGACGAGGAGUUUAUCGACGGAGUCAUUGAAGGUAUCCCAGAUGUAGGCCUGCGUAGGCAAGCCCACAUGCAGUUAUUUGGUGCUCCAUAUCAACUACUCAAGGCAGUUCAACUGAAGGGGCAAACACUGGAGCCUCGCCAACACCCACUCGCUGCUACAACUGCAACUCUUUGGGCCACGUGGCAGGGGAGUGCCGCAAGCCCAAGCGCGAAAGAGGAGCGUGAUACGGAUGCGGCAGCAUGAGUCACCAGGUGUCACACUGUGACGAAAAGAAGAACAAGAUUGCCUCAUCGACUCAGGGAGCCCAAUAAGUUUUAUAAAGUUAUCAUGUCUAGAGCACCAGUCGGAAAAUAAACUAAAUAAAGCGGAAGAGCGCUCACGAUUAAGUUCAAAUGAAAUCAAAGAAGAUGAUUUAAGUUUAUAUAAGUUUAACAAAGACAAGAAAAACAGAGAAAUUGAAUUUAUUUUGAAUAAAAAUUCGGAUUACGCUUAUGUUGGACUAAACAAUAGCAAACUUAACAUCUUUGGUAAAAUACCCAGUUUUGUAAUUAUUAACAAAAAUCGAAUCAACUUUGAAUUACUAGUAGUGGCAGACGAGUCGAUGGGCUAUGAGGCUGUGUUAGGUAGGGAUUUUAUGAAUUUAUGCAAAUUUAAAAUUGUAAGUGAAAUUUGCAAGGAGAAGGAGAG